rnacentral:rRNA from 1 species
AACGAACGCUGGCGGCAGGCCUAACACAUGCAAGUCGAACGCUGUAGCAAUACAGAGUGGCAGACGGGUGAGUAACACGUGGGAAUCUUCCUAUCGGUACGGAAUAGCUCAGGGAAACUAACGCUAAUACCGGAUACGUCCUUCGGGAGAAAGAUUUAUCGCUGAAAGAUUGGCCCGCGUCUGAUUAGCUAGUUGGUGAGGUAAUGGCUCACCAAGGCUACGAUCAGUAGCUGAUCUGAGAGGAUGAUCAGCCACAUUGGGACUGAGACACGGCCCAAACUCCUACGGGAGGCAGCAGUGGGGAAUAUUGGACAAUGGGCGCAAGCCUGAUCCAGCCAUGCCGCGUGAGUGAUGACGGCCUUCGGGUUGUAAAGCUCUUUUGUCCGGGAAGAUAAUGACUGUACCGGAAGAAUAAGCCCCGGCAAACUUCGUGCCAGCCGCCGCCGUAACAC